rnacentral:rRNA from 2 species
GCUGGCGGCAGGCCUAACACAUGCAAGUCGAACGAGAAACUUUCCUUCGGGAAAGUGGAAAGUGGCAGACGGGUGAGUAACGCGUGGGAACGUGCCUUUCGGUUCGGAAUAACUCAGGGAAACUUGGGCUAAUACCGGAUACGCCCUUCGGGGGAAAGAUUUAUCGCCGAAAGAUCGGCCCGCGUCAGAUUAGCUAGUUGGUGAGGUAAUGGCUCACCAAGGCGACGAUCUGUAGCUGGUCUGAGAGGAUGAUCAGCCACACUGGGACUGAGACACGGCCCAGACUCCUACGGGAGGCAGCAGUGGGGAAUAUUGGACAAUGGGCGAAAGCCUGAUCCAGCCAUGCCGCGUGGGUGAAGAAGGCCCUAGGGUUGUAAACCCCUUUCAGCGGGGAAGAUAAUGACGGUACCCGCAGAAGAAGCCCCGGCUAACUCCGUGCCAGCAGCCGCGGUAAUACGGAGGGGGCCUAGCGUUGUUCGGAAUUACUGGGCGUAAAGCGCGCGUAGGCGGACUUUCAAGUCAGGGGUGAAAUCCCGAGGCUCAACCUCGGAACUGCCUUUGAUACUGUAAGUCUUGAGUCCGAGAGAGGUGAGUGGAAUUCCUAGUGUAGAGGUGAAAUUC